GAUGAACGCUGGCGGCGUGCCUAAUACAUGCAAGUCGAGCGAACAGACGAGAAGCUUGCUCCUCUGACGUUAGCGGCGGACGGGUGAGUAACACGUGGAUAACCUACCUAUAAGACUGGGAUAACUUCGGGAAACCGGAGCUAAUACCGGAUAAUAUAUUGAACCGCAUGGUUCAAUAGUGAAAGACGGUUUUGCUGUCACUUAUAGAUGGAUCCGCGCCGCAUUAGCUAGUUGGUAAGGUAACGGCUUACCAAGGCAACGAUGCGUAGCCGACCUGAGAGGGUGAUCGGCCACACUGGAACUGAGACACGGUCCAGACUCCUACGGGAGGCAGCAGUAGGGAAUCUUCCGCAAUGGGCGAAAGCUUGACGGAGCAACGCCGCGUGAGUGAUGAAGGUCUUCGGAUCGUAAAACUCUGUUAUUAGGGAAGAACAAAUGUGUAAGUAACUAUGCACGUCUUGACGGUACCUAAUCAGAAAGCCACGGCUAACUACGUG
rnacentral:rRNA from 1 species